AGGACGAACGCUGGCGGCGUGCUUAACGCAUGCAAGUCGAGCGGUAAGGCCUUUCGGGGUACACGAGCGGCGAACGGGUGAGUAACACGUGGGUGAUCUGCCCUGCACUCUGGGAUAAGCCUGGGAAACUGGGUCUAAUACCGGAUAUGACCUGCUCUCGCAUGGGGGUGGUGGAAAGAUUUAUCGGUGCAGGAUGGGCCCGCGGCCUAUCAGCUUGUUGGUGGGGUAAUGGCCUACCAAGGCGACGACGGGUA
rnacentral:rRNA from 1 species